rnacentral:rRNA from 1 species
AUACGUAGGGGGCGAGCGUUGUCCGGAAUGAUUGGGCGUAAAGGGCGCGUAGGCGGCGCGGUAAGUCUGGAGUGAAAGUCCUGCUUUCAAGGUGGGAAUUGCUUUGGAUACUGCCGCGCUUGAGUGCAGGAGAGGUUAUCGGAAUUCCCGGUGUAGCGGUGAAAUGCGUAGAGAUCGGGAGGAACACCAGUGGCGAAGGCGGGUAACUGGACUGCAACUGACGCUGAGGCGCGAAAGUGUGGGGAGCAAACAGGAUUAGAUACCCCGGUAGUCCUGGCCGUAAACGAUGGGUACUAGGUGUGGGAGGUAUCGACUCCUUCCGUGCCGGAGUUAACGCAAUAAGUACCCCGCCUGGGGAGUACGGCCGCAAGGCUUAAACUCAAAUGAAUUGACGGGG